rnacentral:hammerhead_ribozyme from 1 species
AUUCAGAUGAAGAAUCUUAAAUAGAAUGAAACGCGCGUCCUGGAU